rnacentral:rRNA from 1 species
GAUCCUGGCUCAGGAUGAACGCUGGCGGCGUGCUUAAUACAUGCAAGUCGAACGAAGCACCUUGGACAGAAUCCUUCGGGAGGAAGACCAUUGUGACUGAGUGGCGGACGGGUGAGUAACGCGUGGUAACCUGCCUUGUACAGGGGGAGUAACAGUUGGAAACGACUGCUAAUACCGCAUAAGCGCACAGUACCGCAUGGUACGGUGUGAAAAACUCCGGUGGUACAAGAUGGACCCGCGUCUGAUUAG